AUACGUAGGGUGCGAGCGUUGUCCGGAAUUACUGGGCGUAAAGAGCUCGUAGGUGGUUUGUCGCGUCGUCUGUGAAAUUCCGGGGCUUAACUCCGGGCGUGCAGGCGAUACGGGCAUAACUUGAGUACUGUAGGGGAGACUGGAAUUCCUGGUGUAGCGGUGAAAUGCGCAGAUAUCAGGAGGAACACCGGUGGCGAAGGCGGGUCUGUGGGCAGUAACUGACGCUGAGGAGAGAAAGCAUGGGUAGCGAACAGGAUUAGAUACCCUGGUAGUCCAUGCCGUAAACGGUGGGCGCUAGGUGUAGGGGUCUUCCACGACUUCUGUGCCGUAGCUAACGCAUUAAGCGCCCCGCCUGGGGAGUACGGCCGCAAGGCUAAAACUCAAAGGAAUUGACGGGG
rnacentral:rRNA from 1 species